rnacentral:misc_RNA from 1 species
UACGGAGGGUGCAAGCGUUGUCCGGAAUCAUUGGGUGUAAAGGGUACGUAGGCGGAGUGAUAAGUCAGUGGUGAAAGCCCGCAGCUUAACUGCGGAAUUGCCAUUGAUACUGUUGCUCUUGAGUGUAGUUGAGGUAAGCGGAAUGUGGCAUGUAGCGGUGAAAUGCAUAGAUAUGCCACAGAACACCGAUCGCGAAGGCAGCUUACCAAACUGUAACUGACGCUAAGGUACGAAAGCGUGGGGAGCAAACAGG